rnacentral:rRNA from 1 species
AUACGGAGGGUGCGAGCGUUAAUCGGAAUUACUGGGCGUAAAGCGUGCGUAGGUGGUUUAUUAAGUUAUCUGUGAAAUCCCUGGGCUCAGCCUGGGCAGGUCAGAUAAGACUGAUAGACUGGAGUAUGGGAGAGGGUAGUGGAAUUUCCGGUGUAGCGGUGAAAUGCGUAGAGAUCGGAAGGAACACCAGUGGCGAAGGCGGCUACCUGGCCUAAUACUGACACUGAGGCACGAAAGCGUGGGGAGC